rnacentral:rRNA from 1 species
UACGUAGGGUGCGAGCGUUAAUCGGAAUUACUGGGCGUAAAGCGUGCGCAGGCGGUGAUGUAAGUCAGACGUGAAAUCCCUCGGCGUUAACCGGGGAACUGCGUCUGAUACUGGAUGGCUUGAGUUUGGGAGAGGGAUGCGGAAUUCCAGGUGUAGCGGUGAAAUGCGUAGAUAUCUGGAGGAACACCGGUGGCGAAGGCGGCAUCCUGGACCAACACUGACACUGAGGAGCGAAAGCCAGGGGAGGCAAACGGG